UCCCGCCGGGAUCCCGGUCCCGGUGCUUCUCGGGCCGUUCGCAGCUGGGUCCGGGCCCAGCCAGACUGGGUGGAAAUCUGGCUGACCUUGGUGGUCUGUCUUGCCAGCUGGAGCAAAGGGAUGCCAGGGGACGGGUCUCGGUGCAGUGACUGCCAUUAGCUUGGGGCCGCAGAAAGUUUCUCCCCCUUCUCGGGCUCCUGCCAGGCCCUUGUCUUUCAGAGCCAGGCCCGAUUUCCAGAUAACAUUUAAGUUUGCGGAAAAGGGGAUGCCAGGUCACGGUGGUCACGGCUGUGGGAUGCAGCCUCUGAGAUUUGUAUUAAUUUUUGUGAGCCGGGGAAAGGGCUUGCUGCUUUCUCCGCCAGGACUGAUGUAUCUUCCCAAGAUGAAAGUGCCUGAUGCUGCUGCUUUCUCCCCUGAUGGAAGCGGAAGCCAUGAUUCUGCAGUCCUGGCCAUAAAGCUGUGAAUUGUACAAGCUGGCACAGCCAGUACUGCCCUACUGAGUUCAGUGAACUGUCCUUCUGAUCUGCACUGAAAGAGCCUGGCUUUGGUGCAAUGCUCACAGUGAAACCGUCUGCAUAGCUGAGCUAACAAUUCAAACUUCAGCUCUCAUUUCAAUAAAUUACCUUAUAAAACA